rnacentral:RNase_P_RNA from 2 species
GGAGUUGAUUAAACGAUCGCUGCUACCUUAAAAAGGUGGGAGAGGAAAGUCCGGGCUCCACAGAGCAUGGUGCCAGAUAACACCUGGGAGGUGCAAACCUACGGAAAGUGCCGCAGAAAAUAUACCGCCGAUCAUAAGUAAUUAGCAUCGGUAAGGGUGAAAAGGCGUGGUAAGAGCACACCGCACUAAUGGUAACAUUAGUGGCAUGGUAAACCCCACCAGGAGCAAGACCAAAUAGAAGGACAAGCGUGCGGCUCGUACGGUCCUUGGGUAGGUCGCUUGAGCAAUGUGGUGACACACUGCCUAGAUGAAUGAUCGUUGUGGUUUAUGUUGUAUAAACCAUACAGAACCCGGCUUAUAAAUUGGCUCCCUAU